ACUCUCUCUCACCAUUUUCAGCUUUUCCUUAUUUUGGAGCCCUAGGUUUUUUCUCUCUCCCACGCCUUCGUUGUUUUCGCUAUCCGUCCUUCGCGUCUUUGUCUCGCCGAUUAUUCACGGCCGUUUUCUUCUCGGAAAACUAACGAUCUCUGGUGAGUUUUUUGCAGUUCUUGCCGUAUCUAAUUUCAAUUUUUUUUCGUUGUUUGGGUGUGGCUUUGCGAUGCGGUUUGAUUUUUGGUUUCAGGAAAAGUUAUCGAUGCGAUCUAAGGUUUUUUGCAAAAGAAGUUGUUUGAAUUUUGGCCUUUCUGUCUGCAACCUUGCAAGCUGUUUGCGAUCAAGGAUUUGGGUUUGGGCAGAUCAAUCCUGCAAACCGCUUCAAUAACAUGUCUUGGAACUCAAUUGGCCACUAUCAGCGCAGCCUCCAUAUUCUUGGUUGUUCUAGACUUUGUCAACAGUGCAUAGUUGUCUUCGGCAGAACUCGAUAGCAACUCUAGAAUUAUAUUGGGGACUCUCUAAAUUUUGGUUUUAGCUGCAGAUGAAGCGAAAUCAAAAGGUUAUAAAUUAGAGUUAUAAUUUAAUUAUUAUAUUUGAUGCAUCAUUUGAUUAAAUGAAUACAGUAGGAACAUUGAUUUGACGUAUGUGCUUUUGUAUGGAAAACUGAAUUUUGUGUGUUUAUAAGUGUGGGUAUACUCAAUAUUUAUUUUAAUUACAAUGGAAUUGACUGAAAAUUAUGGAGAAUUAGUGUAAGUUUACACACAUAAAGAAAUAGAAUGAAAAUGUAAGUAAAGAAAAAUUAGAAUGUAAUACAUAAUAUCUUUGUAUGUGUGUGUGUGUGUGUGUGUAAGGGAUUGAUGACUAAAUGUGCUAUGUGAAGAGAUUGCUUAUUUCGUUAGUUAAGGGCAGCACUUGAUAGAAGCAUAACCAAACCCAGGUAAGAGUCACAUUUUGGUUGCCUUCCUAUCCUUAUUUUUUGUUUUUCACUUAGCUCUAUGUUGUUAACUGCAAAUUUUGGUAUUUUGUUCCCUUUAGUUUUAUCUGCUAAUUAUUGUUCUACGAAUUGCAUUCUUCAGUUAAUUAAUGAUUAACUAGAAUGUCCCAAAAAAAAAAAAAUCAAGCAUUACAAUGUUCGGGAUGAUAAUUUACAUCCAAUAUGAUCAUUAGCCAGUCGAGAACCUAAUUUGGGAAUUGGGUUUAAAGUUUUAAUAGUUUUGUUGUGUGUAAAUUUUUUGCUUUGCCUACCAAGAAUCUAAAAACUAAAGGCUUAGUUAUUUUCCCCAAAUGGUUUUCAAUUUGUUGUAGGUAAACAAGAGCUACUGGAUUAUUAUGCACAGGGGAAUGGAAGGAAAGUAAAAAUUCAAGCUUUUAAUACAAAUUGGAAAUUGAGCGACACUAAACAAACGAUAGGUAAAACUGACCACUACUUUCUUUUCAUUUAAAUAUAAAUCAAUUGAUUAAGUCUGUGUAAAAUGAAGUUUCAAUUGUUUUCAAAUUCUAACAACGAUCUCCUACGCUUUAAGAUAAUCUAUUUAGAGUUUUGAUCCACUUUUAAUUACGCAGAAUUUCAAUUUUUUUUCCAUAUAAAGUUUCCAUUUUUCUUGAGUAAGAGAAGAAGCUUUAAUUUGGGUUUACAAUAUUUCCCUUUGUAGAUUUUCAAAGUAGGACCAAGCUUUAAAAAGGCACUUCAGGUUUUGGAAUUAUUAUUAUUAUUUUUUUUGGUUAUGCUUUUGUUAUAUCAGGUUCUAAAUUGCGCAUACCAUUUCUUUAAAUUAGAGAAAAUUAAGCACGAUCUUGCUUAUAUACAUAUUGUUAUUUUAAGAAACAAUUUUGUUUGUCUUUUCUAUAAUAAGAACAGCAAUUUACUUUUGGGUUUCGUUCUUAACUGAUUUCUGAACUUAUGCCCAAGUCUAAUCUACUCCAAAGACAGGCUGAGCAAAAGGAGGAACUUUUAAGCAGGUAUGUGUACUAUGUGUUUUAUUCGUUCUUAACUUCAUUGUUGGUUUCUGUACUAUUUUUCUGUGUCUAAAAUUUUGAAAUAAAUAUGAUCUUUUCACUAUUGAUUCUCAUUCCAAGUUUUUUCCACAGAAAAUAAAAUAACAAAUAAAUAUUUUGUUUCCCUUCUUCUACUUUGUUCUUUUGCAGCAAAACAAGCAUGAUUUUGUUGGUACUGCUUAUUUAGUGAAGCAACGGUUUCAUAUUGUGAACUGUUUUGCGUGUUUAUCACUUUAUUCUUUAUGGUUUCAAUUUCCUAAAUGAAGUUUGACAUGUAUGGAAUUUCACAAUUUACAACCAUAAACUUCAUUUCUCCCAUGGACACCUUUUUUGUUCCUUAUUGUUGAUAGAGUUGUAAAUAAAUUUGCACAUGUAUGUAAAUAGUAUUGUCUACUGUAUAUACAUAUAUAUAUAUAUAUAUGUAAUUUUUUUUAGAA